rnacentral:ncRNA from 1 species
AGGAUGAAACAGGGGUGCCCUUGAGUGUUUUUUGCUACGAGGCGCUGAGAAAGACCCUAUAACCCGAUCCAGGUAAUGCUGGCGUGGGGAGUUUUCCAUCAGACCGU